GGGCACCUGCGUGUCUGCGGUUCCUGCCAGGAACUGCUGCCGCCGCCUCUUCCUCCCAAGCGCGCUGAGGGCGGUGCUGCUGGUGGCAGAUCGAUAUGAAGCGGACACCCCCAGCUGCCGGAUCACAGGGAUGUGACUCAAGCCCGAGGAGGUGCUGGUGAAAAACGCCCUGAAGCUCUGGGUGGCCCAGAAGAACAGAGACUACUUCUUGCCACAGCGGUGCCGCGACCACGGAGAGGGGAUCGGUCCCCUCACCACCGCUGCCGCCGCCUCCUCCUGAGCGAGCAGGGCCAGGUGUGGCCUUGGCCGCGGCGAUGUGAAGCGGGGGCCCCCAGAAGAAAGGAAAAGAAGCCCGAGGAGGUGCUGCUGAAGGACACCCUGAAGCUCUGGGUGGCCCAGAGGAGCAGCGGCUACUUCAUCCUAGGGCGGCGAGGGGGCGUUGGCCUCAGCGUUCAACUUGUAAUCCCUUGGGUUGAUAUGCAGAAAUUGGAAAGGACAUCCAACGUCUUUCUGGUGGACACCAUCCAGAUCACCACGCAGAAUAAGGUUUGUGACUCCUCCAUGUUUCUGAUCCUGGAUGCGGUCUUCAAGAUGAUGGAGUAGCUGGUAGAUGUGAUGCUGUGGAGGCUGCUGGAUAAUGAGGUCUGGAGCCAGGUCUGCAGGAGCCAAGCCAGAUCACCAAGAGGGACCUUGAAGCCAGAGCAUGGAAGGAGCUCUUUUGACCCUUCUUCAGGCUGCCAAGAAAGGAGAAACUGCAUGCUGUCAUGGACUGCUCUUCUGGACGCCUUUCAGUCACUGCCACACUGCGGGACACAUGUUUACCUCAAAUGACUCCACCUGCUUUGCCAGCAGAGAAGAUGGCUGCUGUAAUGUUAUCCUUCUGCUCAGAGAGGUCAUGAGCAUGGAGAAGAUGGAGGACACCAGUCUGCUGCCUAGCCCCAUCAUCAUCAGCAUCAGGAACAAGGUGGCCUUUCAGUUCAUUGAGCUCAAGGAUAGAGAGACCUUGGUGGAAGGCCUGCUUGAGGGACUGAAGCAAGUCCAUGCCAUCCUCUGCACUAUGAGACUUCAGCAAUGACGAGGACAUGCAUCUGCAGUGACCACAAGUUUGGGGAUCUUAAAAUGGUGUCCUGUUACCACAGCAAAGAGUGUGAAGACAAGAGCCCAUCUCUGCACUUCGGACCCCUGACCGCUGUCUUCCAGCCUUCUGGCAGCCAGAACUCUGACUCCCGCCUGGUUUGUGAGGCCACUCCUUCCCUGCUAUUCCGUGAGCACUGGAGGCUGGGCAAUGACCAUGGAGGGUGUGGCACCUGAACACUAGCUCCUGAGGACCCGGGUGGAGAGGUGGUCUCUGACCCUGGGUAGCAAGGGGUCUCUUGAGGGCUCAGACAGCAGAGGGGAGCCGGCCUUUUCCCCUGUCCGUUAGUGGGUCUGAUGCCAUUCCUGCUGUCUGACUUGGGCAGCAGACGGUGCCAGCCCUGUGUGUUUUCAGCUGUCGUCCAAGUGUUCCUCCCACUGGCUGGUGGCAUCUCAGUGUCAGGUUCCUGCAUUUGUAUCCUGGGAAAAAGGGCUGCCUAUCUUCUAGUUUUAUGAAAUAAAAUUAUUUUUGCUACAUUCA